AUGGAGUUGAUUGGUGCCUUGGGCCGCGGAGACGAUGAAUCGGCCAAUGGAUCCAGGGUGGCUGUGGGCGGCGGAUUUGGUCAAGGGUCAUAUGGGCAGAUGUUGAAUGGUGCGGCGUGCAGCGAGGAGAGAACUGUAGAUGGUGGUGGCGCCGCCAUGUCCAGGUUCAGUGAGAGCGAGGGUGACAAUGAAGAAGCUCUUGACCAGGUGGAGGGGGAAGCACACUUUGAUGGAGACCAGGAGGCUGUGAUUCAGGAUCAAAUUGAUAGUGCUGAUGGAUGUUCUGCUCAAUCUACAGGCAAGGUGGAUCCGCAAGCACCUGGCUGGACAAAAAGAGUAAGAGUCGGCAAUCAACCGCCAGACAGGGCUCCAUGUAGGCGCUGA
rnacentral:rRNA from 1 species